GAAAAUACUAAGACGAGGUGGCCUUGCGUUGAUCCAGCUAAGGGUCCGUCUUUACCCACUUAGUGUAAUUCAGAUUAGAGGAGUUCUUUUCAUCGUCUGUGAAUUGGUUGAUCAAUGCAGUUCGAAAGCCCCUUCAACGAAGCAGUCACUUUAGUGGGAAAUUCAGGAAGAUUCUUUUUUGGGCAAUGUCCCACCCGACGGAAAGCAG
rnacentral:misc_RNA from 1 species